rnacentral:rRNA from 1 species
CCUACGGGAGGCUGCAGUGGGGAAUAUUGCACAAUGGGCGCAAGCCUGAUGCAGCCAUGCCGCGUGUGUGAAGAAGGCCUUCGGGUUGUAAAGCACUUUCAGCGGGGAGGAAGGCGGUGAGGUUAAUAACCUCAUCGAUUGACGUUACCCGCAGAAGAAGCACCGGCUAACUCCGUGCCAGCAGCCGCGGUAAUACGGAGGGUGCAAGCGUUAAUCGGAAUUACUGGGCGUAAAGCGCACGCAGGCGGUCUGUCAAGUCGGAUGUGAAAUCCCCGGGCUCAACCUGGGAACUGCAUUCGAAACUGGCAGGCUAAAGUCUUGUAGAGGGGGGUAGAAUUCCAGGUGUAGCGGUGAAAUGCGUAGAGAUCUGGAGGAAUACCGGUGGCGAAGGCGGCCCCCUGGACAAAGACUGACGCUCAGGUGCGAAAGCGUGGGGAGCAAACAGGAUUAGAUACCCGGGUAGUC